rnacentral:snRNA from 1 species
AUCGCUUCUCAGCCUUUUGGCUAAGAUCAAGUGUAGGAAAAUAUUUUAGAGCCAUUUCUAUAGCUCUUUCGAAAUUCUGUCUACCUAUUUUUUCACUUACACCAAGGCUAUGGACUGCUAAUUU